UGGGGGAAUAUUGCACAAUGGGGGAAACCCUGAUGCAGCGACGCCGCGUGAGCGAUGAAGUAUUUCGGUAUGUAAAGCUCUAUCAGCAGGGAAGAAAAUGACGGUACUUGACUAAGAAGCCCCGGCUAACUACGUGCC
rnacentral:rRNA from 1 species